GAUGAAGAACGUGGCGAAAUGCGAUAAGUAAUGUGAAUUGCAGAAUUCAGUGAAUCAUCGAAUCUUUGAACGCACAUUGCGCCCGCCAGUAUUCUGGCGGGCAUGCCUGUUCGAGCGUCAUUUCAACCAUCAAGCCCCCGGCUUGUGUUGGGGACCUGCGGCUGCCGCAGGCCCUGAAAACCAGUGGCGGGCUCGCUGUCACACCGAGCGUAGUAGAUUUUCAUCUCGCUCAGGGCGUGCUGCGGGUUCCGGCCGUAAAAAGCCUUAUUUACCCAAGGUUGACCUCGGAUCAGGUAGGAAGACCCGCUGAACUUAAGCAUAUCAAUAAGCGGAGGA
rnacentral:misc_RNA from 1 species